GUCCACGCCCGUAAAACGAUGGGUACUAGGCUUGGUGGGUCUUGACCCCCGCCGAGCCGGAGCUAACGCAAUAAGUACCCCGCCUGGGAAGUACGGUCGCAAGACUAAAACUCAAAGGAUUGACGGGGGCCCGCACAAGCGGUGGAUCAUGUGGUUUAAUUCGAAGCAACGCGCAAAACCUUACCUGGAUUUGACAUCCUCGGACCGCUACAGAAAAUGUAGUUUUCGUAGCAAUACGACCGAGUGACAGGUGUUGCAUGGCUGUCGU
rnacentral:rRNA from 1 species